rnacentral:rRNA from 1 species
CGGCGGACGGGUGAGUAACGCGUGGGUAACCUGCCUCGUACAGGGGGAUAACAGUUGGAAACGGCUGCUAAUACCGCAUAAGCGCACAGUACCACAUGGUACAGUGUGAAAAACUCCGGUGGUAUGAGAUGGACCCGCGUCUGAUUAGCUAGUUGGCGGGGUAAUGGCCCACCAAGGCGACGAUCAGUAGCCGACCUGAGAGGGUGACCGGCCACAUUGGGACUGAGACACGGCCCAG